rnacentral:rRNA from 1 species
AAUGAACGCUGGCGGCAGGCCUAACACAUGCAAGUCGAACGCGCAGCAAUGCGAGUGGCAAACGGGUGAGGAACACGUGGGAAUCUACCUAGAAGUUCGGAAUAGCCUCGGGAAACUGGGAGUAAUACCGGAUACGCUCUACGGAGGAAAGAUUUAUCGCUUUAGAUGAGCCCGCGUCUGAUUAGCUAGUUGGUGAGGUAAUGGCUCACCAAGGCGACGAUCAGUAGCUGAUUUGAGAAGAUGAUCAGCCACACUGGGACUGAGAUACGGCCCAGACUCCUACGGGAGGCAGCAGUGAGGAAUAUUGGACAAUGGAGGAAACUCUGAUCCAGCCAUGCCGCGUGAGUGAUGAAGGCUUUAGGGUUGUAAAGCUCUUUUAGCGGGGAAGAUAAUGACGGUACCCGCAGAAAAAGCCCCGGCUAACUUCGUGCCAGCAGCCGCCGUAA